rnacentral:rRNA from 1 species
UACGAAGGGGGCGAGCGUUGUUCGGAUUUACUGGGCGUAAAGGGCGCGCAGGCGGCUAUCCAAGUCAGGCGUGAAAUCCCCGGGCUUAACCUGGGAACUGCAUUUGUGACUGGCGGGCUAGAGUAUGGCAGAGGGGGGUAGAAUUCCACGUGUAGCAGUGAAAUGCGUAGAGAUGUGGAGGAAUACCGAUGGCGAAGGCAGCCCCCUGGGCCAAUACUGACGCUCAUGCACGAAAGCGUGGGGAGCAAACAGG